rfam:TPA: Bos taurus chromosome 11, whole genome shotgun sequence.
UUCCUGAUAGCUCAGAUGGUAAAGAAUCUGCCUGCAAUGCAGGAGACCUGGGUUCGAUCCCUGGUUUGGGAA